AUUGAACGCUGGCGGCAUGCCUUACACAUGCAAGUCGAAUGGUAACAGGUCUUCGGAUGCUGACGAGUGGCGAACGGGUGAGUAAUACAUCGGAACGUGCCCGAUCGUGGGGGAUAACGAAGCGAAAGCUUUGCUAAUACCGCAUACGAUCUACGGAUGAAAGCAGGGGACCGCAAGGCCUUGCGCGAACGGAGCGGCCGAUGGCAGAUUAGGUAGUUGGUGGGAUAAAAGCUUACCAAGCCGACGAUCUGUAGCUGGUCUGAGAGGACGACCAGCCACACUGGGACUGAGACACGGCCCAGACUCCUACGGGAGGCAGCAGUGGGGAAUUUUGGACAAUGGGCGAAAGCCUGAUCCAGUCAUGCCGCGUGCAGGAUGAAGGCCUUCGGGUUGUAAACUGCUUUUGUACGGAACGAAAAGACUCUGGUUAAUACCUGGGGUCCAUGACGGUACCGUAAGAAUAAGCACCGGCUAACUACGUG
rnacentral:rRNA from 1 species